rnacentral:rRNA from 1 species
GGUGAACGCUGGCGGCGUGCCUAAUACAUGCAAGUCGAGCGAACAGACGAUGAGCUUGCUCCUCUAACGUUGGCGGCUGACGGGCGAGUAAGACGUGGAUAACCUACCUAUAUUACUUGGAGAACUUCGGGAAACCGCAUCUAAUACCGGAUCAUAUAUUGAACGGGAUGAUGCAGUAGUUAAUGACGGUUUUGCCGUCUCUUAUAGAUGGAGCCGUGCCGCAUUAGCUAGUUGGUAAGGUAACGGCUUACCAAGGCAACGAUGCGUAGCCGAGCUGAGAGGAUGAUCAGCCACACUGGAACUGAGACACGGUCCAGACUCCUACGGGAGGCAGCAGUAGGGAAUCUUGCACAAUGGGCGCAAGCCUGACCGAGCCACGCCGCGUGAGUGAUGAAGGCCUUCGGAUCGUAAAACUCUGUUAUUAGGAAAGAAAAGCUGUAUAAGUAACCAUGGCUGUUCUGACGGUACCUAAUCAGAAAGCCCCGGCUAACUUCGUG